AACAGUAAUAAAACCAAUUUGUUUAGCUACAGGUAUGCCCCUGGUGGUCUUUGGCUGAAGAGCAUUAUGGAAAUAAAGCUCCACUUAGGUGCACUGAGAGCUUCCUGCCUUGGCCUGGUAUGCUUGACUCAGUGAUGGCACACACAUCUUGGACUUUGUGCCUGUACCUGCACCAGAUGCCAUGUGCCCUGGCAGGGUGAAGUUAUUUGUCUUUGGAGGGAAAGUCUAUAGAUCCAGAUCUGAGAAAUCCAUCAUCAAGCCAUCUCAGGGGCUGAGAAAUUGAGGUUUCUUCUCAGUGUUCUUUGAGCAACCUUUGCCCUGGUCACCAUCUAAAACCCUGACCUACCAAAGAAUGGACAGCACUCUUUGGAAGGAAGUCAUAAUGCCCAGCCUUCACUUAAUGAAAGGACAGUUAUGUUCUACCUUCCUUAAUGGGGAGUAUCUGCAUAAAUUCUUUGAAAUUCUUCUUCAAAGGAAAUUAGCUUAUUAUUCCAUAUUAAUUAAUUAAUUAAUUAGUUAAUGUGUGUGUGUAUCUGUAUCUUAACACUUUCUUGUUUUUUGGCACAGUAAGAUGCUCCAGACUCAUCUUGUAUAUUUCCUGUCUCAAGAAUAAGCCAUUUCUCGAAGGAGUCCUUGGAGAAUGGUAUUAGAAAUCAAGAUCUGGGUGCUGGGUGUGCUCAUUGCUACUGGGAUGUCAUUUCUUCUAGGUCAUCCUGGCUGAAAGAGCAAGGAAAUUUAUGUGUGUACAUAUACUAUAUGUCUAUAUUUAUAGAUACUAACAGAUCUAUAAAUAUUUCUAUAUGUGCCUAUCUAUGUGAAGCUAAACACGAGUUCAUACUGAUGUCUCUAGCUCUAAUCUGUUACCUACAGAUUAUUCUAGCCUUCUACCCAUGCUUAUAUGUAACAUUCUGCUUUAACAGUGAGAAACCUGACACUUAGCAUUCACCAUCUACUUUCUUUUCAAUUCCAUAUAUGUGUAUAGUAGUUUCAGAUGUGUUAACCCAUAUCCUGAAAUAAAAUUUCCAUCUACAGUGCAAUGCUUAUGCACAGAUCCUUUGCCUUUAGUCUUAUAUACUCAUUUCUAAAACUACUUAGGUCUACACUAUUUGUCCCUGCUCUCUUCUGUGAGGUUGUGUCAUGCACUUGUAAUACAGUUAGAUCCUUUUGUUACAGCCUGCAUUCCAUUUUAAGGGGCCUUGACUUCCCAAUUGAUUUUUAAACAUUUCCACAUAUACACUUCCUCUUUGUGUUGUAAAGUUCUAUGCUUUUUGACAAAUGCAUAGAUUUAUGUAUUUACCAUUAUGGUAUCAUACAGAAUAGUUUCACUACCCUAGAAGAGCCUUGGUAAUUCAACCAUCUUCCCUCUCCAAUUUCUUGGCAACUACUGUUUGUUGUCUCUACAGUUUUGCCUUUUGCAGAAUGUUCUAUGAAUGGAAUCACAUAAUAUAUGGU